CAAAUUGUCCAAAUAAUACAUCAAAUGAAACCUGACAAUUUAAUCUACAAGUUUCCUGAAGACACACAGCCCAAAUUAUGAUCCCAACAUAUCGAAAACAGUCCCGCAAGAAGAUACUCAAAACUGCCCUGUUUCCGGCAGAUUACUGUCAUCGGAUUCUGACCUCUAAAACAUGCAUACUACAUAAUCUAAUUCGAUACAAUUGAACACUUACUUAUAGUUUACGAUGUCCUCUACGAGUUUCCUGAAGGAACUGAUUCCAAAUUCGCAUUCGAAACCCUUCGAUUUCGGCUCCGAAAACAGGUGCGGCAGCAGAUUUGCUUCCCCUCGUUCCAACGAGCGAGCUGAAGUUUUAGCAAAUUCCGGUGACCACCGCCGGUGUAAACAAUCGAGAACCACCACCACUGGAAAUCCAACUUAUUAAGGUUUCGAACGGUACCUUCGGAUCAUCGAUACUCCAUCUUUAAGACCUCCGUUUAAUUGAUUUACGGAAAAGGCAAAACUCAGAAAUUUGAAUUCUGGACAGCUCGUCUUCUUUGUCGGAUUCCAGCCACCAUCGCCGGCGACUGCUGGAGACCACCACCACUAUAAAUCUGACUUCCCAAUAUUUCUAAUGAUAUCACAUGAUCAUUAAUACCCUUUGUUAAAGCAUCCACGCAGCCCCAAUUAUGCUGAUAAUAUGAAUUGGGGAUUUCAGCCAACAAUCAAUAUAUAUAUAUAUAUAUAGAGAGAGAGAGAGAGAGAGAGAAACGUGAAGUGAUAAGAGAAGGGUUAAGGCGGUG
rnacentral:lncRNA from 1 species